UGGUUCUGUUUCACACUUCGCCGUCGCUGCUUCUGUUUACAUGUAGUAUAAAUUAAACAAGAUCAACUACAAGAUAAUUGAGCCAUAAUCUUCAAGGAAUGGCUGAUCACAAAAACCUAUCCUCUAGCAUUACCUUCUAGAUUGCAUGAACAUAAAGUUGAAAAGAUUGGUAGUGGAUAUACACUGAUACUUUCAUACUCCUUUUGGUCUUUUAAGUGCUAAUUUGAAGUUAGUGGUAAAUAUUUACUAUAAUUUGUUGCUUCAUUUUGUAUUUGGGAUCUCUUUACUCCCAUAUUAAAAUUAUAAAUCUUAUUAAAGUAUAACCGCAUUUAUUUUAGAGUUCACCUUACCUCAAUUCUAUUUCGUCCUCCGCCACUGUUAUCACAUAUCUAGUUUCAGCUGUCUUAUUUUGCUUGUAUCAUGUAAGUUUGUGGCCAGUAGAUUAUUCACCAUUGCAGUCGCAACUCUGUAUUUAGUUACUCAAGUUCCUUUAUCUGAAUGAAUUAUAACAUGACACAUGACUCAAUGUAGUAUGGGUUCAUUCAGAGCCUGAUCUCAGUUAACUCUUGGCUAGAUGCUGUUGUCUAUUGAGUAACAGUAGCAAGAAUGAUAAAAGAGGAUACGGAUACGGAUAUGUUUUUGUUUGUGAUCUGCCUGUAGGUUUUUCCAGAGUUAAAACUAGAUAUUUUAAAUACAUUUUUGUGCUAUAUGUCCUUUUGUUUUUUUGUAUCAGAUUAAGCUUGGACUUCAAACCUAUUCCGUUAUAGUUGAACAUUGUGUCGAGUGUUAGAGUUGAUAUGUCUUGUUGAAAGUUCUGGCACUCUGUCUUAUUCUUUCAGAAAUACCAUUAGCCCUCUGAUGUCUGUUUAGCAAAAAAUGAAUCUUAUUGUACAGUAAGGAAAGGGUAUGUUGUCUUUACAAGGAUGGAAAGUAUAACAGAAUACAUAAAUAAACGUGGACAAUCCAGAUCCGGUAAUUUUUUUUUAUCUCAGUUAAGCUGUCCCUAGCAUUUGCUAUAAUGCAUAAAAUCCUUGUAUGGGUUAAAUUGCUAAAUCUUUAAUACUGCUAAAUCUUGUACAUGUACUCAAGGGCAAUGUCUGCUAAUGACAUGUGUGUCCUCAAUGAAUGGCCAUCCCAUGCUCGCUGCUACCGUGCGUAACUACAUGAUGAAGCAGAUGGACAGAAGAAGAAGAAAGGACGAGGUGUUCUAAAAGGAAGCAAAGAAAUAGCUGGAGAGGGUACAAGUAAUGGGAAAAGGCACCUACACAUACGUACUAUACUGUACAUCAUGGAUAGUUUAGUCUUACACUUAAUUAGGAUGGCUACCCAUUUAUUUGAGCUUCCUUUGAUGAAUAUUUGCUAUGAGUAUUUGAUUUGUAUGAACCUACAUAUUAUAUGUAUGGUUUUAAAUUUUGUAAUUUAAUGGCUCUUUUUAUGAUUGCGAUAGGCUAUUGCUACAA